UACAGAGGGUGCAAGCGUUAAUCGGAAUUACUGGGCGUAAAGCGUGCGUAGGCGGUUUCGUAAGUCGGGUGUGAAAGCCCCGGGCUCAACCUGGGAAUUGCAUUCGAGACUGCGAAGCUAGGGUGCGGAAGAGGGAAGCGGAAUUUCCGGUGUAGCGGUGAAAUGCGUAGAUAUCGGAAGGAACAUCAGUGGCGAAAGCGGCUUCCUGGUCCAGCGCCGACGCUCAGGCACGAAAGCGUGGGGAGCAAACAGGAUUAGAUACCCUGGUAGUCCACGCCAUAAACGAUGAGAACUAGACGUUGAGAGGGUAAGCCUCCCAGUGUCGAAGCUAACGCGAUAAGUUCUCCGCCUGGGGAGUACGGCCGCAAGGUUGAA
rnacentral:rRNA from 1 species